AGUGGAUGGGGAGCAACCUAGUUGUGCGUGUGUAAAGGUAGUGCCAAGAAAAGCGGUGAUCAUGAUGAAAAUCAAUUCCCGGUACCCGAAACCGACACAGGUGGGCAAGUAGAGAAUACUAAGGGGCGCGAGGUAACUCUCUCCAAGGAACUCGGCAAAAUGACCCCGUAACUUAGGGAGAAGGGGUGCCACCGAGAGGUGGUCGCAGUGAAGAGGCCCAGGCGACUGUUUAGCAAAAACAUAGGUCUCUGCAAACUCGAAAGAGGAGGUAUAGGGGCUGACGCCUGCCCAGUGCCGGAAGGUUAAAGAAGUUGGUCAGUCUUAGGAUGAAGCUAGCGACUGAAGCCCCGGUGAACGGCGGCCGUAACUAUAACGGUCCUAAGGUAGCGAAAUUCCUUGUCGGGUAAGUUCCGACCCGCACGAAAGGCGUAACGAUCUGGGCGCUGUCUCGGAGAGAGGCUCGGCGAAAUAGGAUUGUCUGUGAAGAUACGGACUACCUGCAUUUGGACAGAAAGACCCUAUGAAGCUUUACUAUAGCUUGGAAUUGUGUUCGGGCUUCCUGUGCGCAGGAUUGGUGGGAGGCGUAGAAGGUAUUCUUGUGGGGAUACUGGAGCCAACGGUGAGAUACCACUCUCAGGAGGCUAGAAUUCUAACUUAAUUAAGGACAGUUUCAGGUGGGUAGUUUGACUGGGGCGGUCGCCUCCAAAAAGGUAACGGAGGCGUACAAAGGUUCCCUCAGACUGGUUGGAAAUCAGUCGAAGAGUGCAAAGGCAGAAGGGAGCUUGACUGCGAGAAGUACAGUUCGAGCAGGGUGGAAACACGGUCUUAGUGAUCCGACGGUGCUGUGUGGAAGGGCCGUCGCUCAACGGAUAAAAGUUACUCUAGGAUAACAGGCUGAUCUCCCCCAAGAGUUCACAUCGGCGGGGAGGUUUGGCACCUCGAUGUCGGCUCAUCGCAACCUGGGGCGGAAGUACGUCCCAAGGGUUGGGCUGUUCGCCCAUUAAAGCGGUACGUGAGCUGGGUUCAGAACGUCGUGAGACAGUUCGGUCCAUAUCCGAUGUAGGCGUGAGAAUAUUGAGAGGAGCCUUCCUUAGUACGAGAGGACCGGGAAGGACGCACCGCUGGUGUACCUGUUAUGAUGCCAAUUGUAAACGCAGGGUAGCCAAGUGCGGAGAGGAUAACCGCUGAAAGCAUCUAAGUGGGAAGCCCACCUCAAGAUGAGUAUUCUGGUGUAAGGUCACGGGAAGACGACCCGUAAAUAGGCACGAGGUGGAAGUGCAGAGAUGUAUGAAGCCGAAGUGUACUAAUAGACCGUCGGCUUGACC
rnacentral:rRNA from 1 species